GUGGGUAUAGCUCAGGAGUAGAACGCGUUCUUAGCAUGCACGAGGUCCUGGGUUCAAUCCCCGGUACCUCCA
rnacentral:tRNA from 1 species